rnacentral:rRNA from 1 species
GAUCCUGGCUCAGAUUGAACGCUGGCGGCAGGCUUAACACAUGCAAGUCGAACGGUAACAUAAAGAAGCUUGCUUCUUUGAUGACGAGUGGCGGACGGGUGAGUAAUGCUUGGGAAUCUGGCUUAUGGAGGGGGAUAACUACGGGAAACUGUAGCUAAUACCGCGUAAUAUCGAGAGAUUAAAGUGUGGGACCUUCGGGCCGACAUGCCAUAAGAUGAGCCCAAGUGGGAUUAGGUAGUUGGUG